rnacentral:rRNA from 1 species
GAUGAACGCUGGCGGCGUGCCUAAUACAUGCAAGUCGAGCGAACAGACGAGGAGCUUGCUCCUCUGACGUUAGCGGCGGACGGGUGAGUAAAACGUGGAUAACCUACCUAUAAGACUGGGAUAACUUCGGGAAACCGGAGCUAAUAACGGAUAAUAUAUUGAACCGCAUGGUUAAUUAGUGAAGACGGUUUUGCUGACACUUAUAGAUGGAUCCGCGCCGCAUCAGCUAGUUGGUAAGGUAACGGCUUACCAAGGCGCAGAGGGAUAGCCGACCUCAAGGGGGAUACGACCACACUUGAACUGAGACACCGGCCAAACACCUACAGUAGGCUGCAGUAGGGAAUCUUGCGCAAUGGGCGAAAGCCUGACGGAACAACGCCGCGUGAGAGAAGAAGGUCUACGGAUCGUAAAUCUCUUUUAUUAGGGAAGAACAGAAGUGUAAGUAACUAUGCUCAUCUUGACGGUACCUAAUCAGAAAGCCACGGCGAACUGCAU